GAUGAACGCUGGCGGCGUGCCUAAUACAUGCAAGUCGAGCGAACAGACGAGGAGCUUGCUCCUCUGACGUUAGCGGCGGACGGGUGAGUAACACGUGGAUAACCUACCUAUAAGACUGGGAUAACUUUGGGAAACCGGAGCUAAUACCGGAUAAUAUAUUGAACCGCAUGGUUCAAUAGUGAAAGACGGUUUUGCUGUCACUUAUAGAUGGAUCCGCGCCGCAUUAGCUAGUUGGUAAGGUAACAGCUUACCAAGGCAACGAUGCGUAGCCGACCUGAGAGGGUGAUCGGCCACACUGGAACUGAGACACGGUCCAGACUCCUACGGGAGGCAGCAGUAGGGAAUCUUCCGCAAUGGGCGAAAGCCUGACGGAGCAACGCCGCGUGAGUGAUGAAGGUCUUCGGAUCGUAAAACUCUGUUAUUAGGGAAGAACAAAUGUGUAAGUAACUAUGCACGUCUUGACGGUACCUAAUCAGAAAGCCACGGCUAACUACGUG
rnacentral:rRNA from 1 species